UCCGAGUUGACCCCGGCAGUCUCCUAUGAGUCCCCACCACCCCGAAGGGCGUGCUGGCAACAUAGAACGAGGGUUGCGCUCGUUGCGGGACUUAACCCAACAUCUCACGACACGAGCUGACGACAGCCAUGCACCACCUGUAUACCGACCACAAGGGGGGCCACAUCUCUGCAGCUUUCCGGUAUAUGUCAAACCCAGGUAAGGUUCUUCGCGUUGCAUCGAAUUAAACCACAUGCUCCACCGCUUGUGCGGGCCCCCGUCAAUUCCUUUGAGUUUCAGCCUUGCGGCCGUACUUCCCAGGCGGGCACUUAUCGCGUUAGCUGCGGCACUGACGGGGUCGCUCCCCCCAACACCUAGUGCCCAUCGUUUACGGCGUGGACUAC
rnacentral:misc_RNA from 1 species